rnacentral:rRNA from 1 species
AGCAAACGCUGGCGGCGUGCCUAAUACAUGCAAGUCGAACGGGGAAAGUAGCAAUAUGAGUACUAGUGGCGCACGGGUGAGGAGCGCGUGGGUAAUCUGCCUUCGAGCGGGGGAUAACUAGUCGAAGGAUUAGCUAAUACCGCAUAAGACCACAAGAUCUGCGGAUCUAGGGGUCAAAGCAGCAAUGCACUUGAAGAUGAGCCCGCGUAAGAUUAGCUAGUUGGUGAGGUAACGGCUCACCAAGGCGAUGAUCUUUAGCUGGUCUGAGAGGAUGAUAAGCCACACUUGAACUGAGACACGGUCCAGACUCCUACGGGAGGCAGCAGUAGGGAAUAUUGCGCAAUGGGGGCAACCCUGACGCAGCGACGCCGCGUGAGUGAUGAAGGCCUUCGGGUCGUAAAGCUCUGUUAUAUGGGAAUAAGUUCUGAAUGUACCAUGUGAGAAAGGAUCGGCUAACUUCGUGCCAGCCGCCGCCGUAA